CGAGUCUUAACUGGGCGUUAAGUUGCAGGGUAUAGACCCGAAACCCGGUGAUCUAGCCAUGGGCAGGUUGAAGGUUGGGUAACACUAACUGGAGGACCGAACCGACUAAUGUUGAAAAAUUAGCGGAUGACCUGUGGCUGGGGGUGAAAGGCCAAUCAAACCGGGAGAUAGCUGGUUCUCCCCGAAAGCUAUUUAGGUAGCGCCUCGUGAAUUCAUCUCCGGGGGUAGAGCACUGUUUCGGCUAGGGGGCCAUCCCGGCUUACCAACCCGAUGCAAACUGCGAAUACCGGAGAAUGUUAUCACGGGAGACACACGGCGGGUGCUAACGUCCGUCGUGAAGAGGGAAACAACCCAGACCGCCAGCUAAGGUCCCAAAGUCAUGGUUAAGUGGGAAACGAUGUGGGAAGGCCCAGACAGCCAGGAUGUUGGCUUAGAAGCAGCCAUCAUUUAAAGAAAGCGUAAUAGCUCACUGGUCGAGUCGGCCUGCGCGGAAGAUGUAACGGGGCUAAACCAUG
rnacentral:rRNA from 1 species